CGGCGGGCCGGGGUGGUAUAAGCUGCGUGGGUUUCAGUCGCGCUGUCGCGAAUAUCUCCGGCAGAAAAAACAAAUAGCGCGGGAGCGGAUGCUGCUACCCAUCUUCUCCUUCUCGUCGCGGCGCUGGCGGAGGGAGGGAGGAGUAAAGAAAAGAGCAGGGGCUCGUGUUACGGGGCGGGGGUUAAUUUAAUGCGGUUUAGUGGAGGCGCGCGGGCUAAUUAUUAUUUUUAGGGAGGCGCGGCUGCUGCCUUGCUGCUGCUUCUUGCUGUUGUUGUGGUUGCCCCCGUUGGGAACUCGCGAAAGCUUCGGUUCUUUUGAGAAGAGAGCAGCGCAGCCGCACCGAGCGAGUCCUCUGUCUCUCUCGCGCGGGCGGUCUCGCCGCUGCGGUUGUGCGCUGGUCUUUG
rnacentral:lncRNA from 1 species